CAAAAACUUGAGUCGUAAAACUUGUCUUAAAAUUAUAAGUCAGCCAUUCUGCUCAGGCCCUUAGCUUUAAUGACGUGUCCCAUUUUACCCUAUAAAAAAUGUCUCACUUCACCUCAAAUCCUAUGUUUCGAAAUUAUGACGCGUAUCAUCGAAAAUAUGUUAGCUUUGUAUAAAAAGUCUUUGUAACCACAAAACUAAACAACAAACAAGAACUUUGCAUAUAUUUACCUUCUUCCAAUUGUGGGAAAGACUAUUGAAAAUAAAAACUUUAUAAAUGUCGGAAAAAACUUUUUUUACAAAAAAAAUUGUAGUUGUUAUGACAGAGCAGCAAAAUGUACGUUCAUCAAAGACUAAUUUAAAAUGGUUUGGCUUGAUGCACAAUAAAUGACAGCUAUUGGUUGCUAUAAAUUUCACUACGUAUAGUAUAUCUUAUAGUAGUAUUGUCCCACUGCACCUCAUGUCCCACUUCACCUGACAUUCCCCUACCAAUUGAGAAAGACUAUAAAUUUUGAAAAUAAAAUGAUGAAAACUUGAUUCUUGAGGCUUGAGGAUACAGGAUACGAAUAUAAUUCACAAAUGUACACACACACACACACACACACACACACACACACACACACACACACACGCACACACAAAAUUUGUCAGUGAUAGACAACAUUUUGUAGAUACCAUUUUUGUCUAUACAAAGUAGUGAAAAAUAAUAAAAAAUAUCAAAUAUGUAAAUAAAAAAAAGUUGGUUUUAUGAAUUUCAAAUGAAAACGAAUUAAAUGUAUCAACAAGAUAGUGAUAGUUUUUUGACUCACCGAGUUUACGUUUAACCUUGGCACGCAUAUGUACUAAAUCAAAGUUACCCUAUUCCCGCGUAUUGAGCAGCACACUCCCCACUGCACCGACCGGUUCAUUAACAAUUACAUGGACAAGCAUGGUGGCACAGGUGGCACGAUAUAUAAAGUCACGAGGAAUUGGCGUAGCUGGCUAUUAGUUUGGAACGUUCCAUCGACCGGUUUGUGGACAGUUUCGACUUGCUACGUUCUAUUUCUCCGGACAGCCGUAAAUUGGCCGAUUUAAUCAACCGAUUGGUUCUACACGUGCCGUGAACGCAGUGAACGACUAGGAAUCGCGCACAAUUCGUUUCCUCUUUUCAACUUGGUGAAAUUUCUUAUCUGUCAUAAUGAUGUUCGUCAAGAGAAACGCUGGUUUUCUUCUAAUGAUUGUCGCAUGUCUGCUGAUGAAAUAUUGCCAAACGUCAUGUAUCGGAAAGACUAUAUUGAGAUCCGGUGGUAUAUCAUGUGAGGAAAAGCAGAUUAUCUUGGACGAACACAAUCGAUUAAGACAACUAGUAGCAUUAGGACAGAUACAUGGUCAACCAGGUGCAGCGAAUAUGAUGGAGAUGAUAUGGGAUGACGAACUUGCCGCGAUAGCACAAAGAUGGGCAGAUUAUUGUGCCGAGUCACACGACAGUCUAAGAAAUGUCCGUAGAUUUGCAGUAGGGCAGAAUAUUGCUCGUUCAUGGACGACUAGGUCUCCGGGACCUUACGAUGGCGAGCCGAAAUGGAGACAACAAAUUUCUGCUUGGUUCAACGAGGUACAAUACUAUCAUUUUGGAUAUAGCAAAACCACGGGACACUACACACAGUUGGUAUGGAGUAACACUUUUUUAAUAGGAUGCGGAUAUUCGUUCUACUAUGAUCCAGUUCGCGGCUAUACCAAGAAUUACGUAUGCAACUACGGUCCGAGAGACAAAAUACUUUGUUGAGAUACUCCAAUUUUCUUUAUGAAUACAAGUAACGUUUUGCAUACAUUGCAAUUCUGUUUUUCUUAAAUUAACGUAUUUUAAAUUGGUGUGUGCGUGCUUGUGUGUAUGUGCUGAAUGUCUCAGAAAUUGAUCAAUUUUCAAUUUGGUUAACGCUACUCUCCUUAUCUCAUCAAUCUGUGCGCACCUUUCCGAGUGUCAAUUGACUUUUGGAGAUUUGGAUUGCACGCGGAGCAAUGAGUGGAAAUGUACUCGGCUUUCAACCAUACAAAUCAGGUCAACCUGCAUGCGGAAUGUAUGGCAUGUCCUACAGCAAUAGAUAUGCCGGAUUAUGUUCUCGUGGAACUUAUUAUU